AUAGACCCGAAACCCGGUGAUCUAGCCAUGGGCAGGUUGAAGGUUGGGUAACACUAACUGGAGGACCGAACCGACUAAUGUUGAAAAAUUAGCGGAUGACCUGUGGCUGGGGGUGAAAGGCCAAUCAAACCGGGAGAUAGCUGGUUCUCCCCGAAAGCUAUUUAGGUAGCGCCUCGUGAAUUCAUCUCCGGGGGUAGAGCACUGUUUCGGCUAGGGGGCCAUCCCGGCUUACCAACCCGAUGCAAACUGCGAAUACCGGAGAAUGUUAUCACGGGAGACACACGGCGGGUGCUAACGUCCGUCGUGAAGAGGGAAACAACCCAGACCGCCAGCUAAGGUCCCAAAGUCAUGGUUAAGUGGGAAACGAUGUGGGAAGGCCCAGACAGCCAGGAUGUUGGCUUAGAAGCAGCCAUCAUUUAAAGAAAGCGUAAUAGCUCACUGGUCGAGUCGGCCUGCGCGGAAGAUGUAACGGGGCUAAACCAUGCACCGAAGCUGCGGCAGCGAACGUAUCACCCAAGACAACUUUACGGAGUUGACGAUUGACGGAGCGAAGCGACGUCAAAGCGUUCAUUAAAGUCGAGUUGGCUUAGGGAUACGUUCGUUGGGUAGGGGAGCGUUCUGUAAGCCUGUGAAGGUGUGUCGUGAGGCAUGCUGGAGGUAUCAGAAGUGCGAAUGCUGACAUAAGUAACGAUAAAGCGGGUGAAAAGCCCGCUCGCCGGAAGACCAAGGGUUCCUGUCCAACGUUAAUCGGGGCAGGGUGAGUCGACCCCUAAGGCGAGGCCGAAAGGCGUAGUCGAUGGGAAACGGGUUAAUAUUCCCGUACUUGGUGUUACUGCGAAGGGGGGACGGAGAAGGCUAUGUUGGCCGGGCGACGGUUGUCCCGGUUUAAGCGUGUAGGUGUGUGUUCCAGGUAAAUCCGGUUCACUUUAACACUGAGGCGUGACGACGAGGCACUACGGUGCUGAAGCAACAAAUGCCCUGCUUCCAGGAAAAGCCUCUAAGCAUCAGGUAACAUCAAAUCGUACCCCAAACCGACACAGGUGGUCAGGUAGAGAAUACCAAGGCGCUUGAGAGAACUCGGGUGAAGGAACUAGGCAAAAUGGUGCCGUAACUUCGGGAGAAGGCACGCUGACACGUAGGUGAAGUGAUUUACUCAUGGAGCUGAAGUCAGUCGAAGAUACCAGCUGGCUGCAACUGUUUAUUAAAAACACAGCACUGUGCAAACACGAAAGUGGACGUAUACGGUGUGACGCCUGCCCGGUGCCGGAAGGUUAAUUGAUGGGGUCAGCGCAAGCGAAGCUCCUGAUCGAAGCCCCGGUAAACGGCGGCCGUAACUAUAACGGUCCUAAGGUAGCGAAAUUCCUUGUCGGGUAAGUUCCGACCUGCACGAAUGGCGUAAUGAUGGCCAGGCUGUCUCCACCCGAGACUCAGUGAAAUUGAACUCGCUGUGAAGAUGCAGUGUACCCGCGGCAAGACGGAAAGACCCCGUGAACCUUUACUAUAGCUUGACACUGAACAUUGAGCCUUGAUGUGUAG
rnacentral:rRNA from 1 species